GCAGACACAUUCCAGCCAAUCAGCAGCAGACCCUCCCUCCCAGACCCUCCCUCCUCCUGGACAGCAUCCAUUUUACAUUCAUUGUGAAGCUGCAUUCUUAGUGAACUGUCCAGGAGGUGGGAGGGUCUGGGAGGGAGGGUCUGCUGCUGAUUGGCUGGAAUGUGUCUG